UAACCAUAUAGUUAUAUUGCUGCUGACUAAAGCCGAGAGUAAUUUUACAACUCCAUUAUCCACAUUGGAUGACUUAUUUGUGAGAUUAGCCUAACUUCUAGCUGCCCACCCCCUCUGCUGUUUAACUUGCUUUUGGAUAAUGUUCCAACCGCUCGCUCUAAGAGGCU